rnacentral:rRNA from 1 species
CCUACGGGCGUCAGCAGUGAGGAAUAUUGGUCAAUGGGCGCGAGCCUGAACCAGCCAAGUAGCGUGAAGGAUGACUGCCCUACGGGUUGUAAACUUCUUUUAUAAAGGAAUAAAGUGAGGCACGUGUGCCUUUUUGUAUGUACGUUAGGAAUAAGGAUCGGCUAACUCCGUGCCAGCAGCAGCGGUAAUACGGAGGAUCCGAGCGUUAUCCGGAUUAAUGGGGUUGAAAGGGAGCGUAGAUGGGUGUUUAAGUCAGUUGUGAAAGUUUGCGGCUCAACCGUAAAAUUGCAAUUGAUACUGGCAGCCUUGAGUACAUUUGAGGUAGGCGGAAUUCGUGGUGUAGCGGUGAAAUGCUUAGAUAUCACGAAGAACUCCGAUUGCGAAGGCAGCCUACUAAACUGCCACUGACAUUGAUGCUCGAAAGUGUGGGUAUCAAACAGGAUUAGAUACCCCUGUAGUC